CCUACGGGAGGCAGCAGUGGGGAAUAUUGCACAAUGGGGGAAACCCUGAUGCAGCGACGCCGCGUGAGUGAAGAAGUAUCUCGGUACGUAAAGCUCUAUCAGCAGGGAAGAAAAUGACGGUAUCUGACUAAGAAGCCCCGGCUAACUACGUGCCAGCAGCCGCGGUAAUACGUAGGGUGCAAGCGUUAUCCGGAUUUACUGGGUGUAAAGGGAGCGUAGACGGGAUAACAAGUCAGGAGUGAAAUCCUAGGGCUUAACCCUGGAACUGCUUUGGAAACUGUUCGGCUGGAGUGCAGGAGGGGUAAGCGGAAUUCUUAGUGUAGGGGUGAAAUGCGUAGAGAUUAAGAGGAAUACUGGUGGCGAAGGCGACUUACUGGACUAUAACUGACGCUGAGGCUCGAAAGCGUGGGGAGCAAACAGGAUUAGAUACCCCAGUAGUC
rnacentral:rRNA from 1 species